AAAAUUCAUUCACUGUGUUUGACUUUGGACUUACUGUCAUGCUGACAUAAUUUCGGUAUUAUACACACAUUUUAGAUCCAGGUUUUUGUUUAAAAUAUUUAUUGUAUACUAAUAUUCCUGUUUUAUUUUAUGACAUCAUGAGGCCCUCUAUAAUGGAUGAUAUGCCUAAGUUUGAUACAACAGAGGUUAAAAAAGAAAACUUUAAAGAAAAAAUGUUUCGUGUCCUUGCUCUUAUAGCGAUAAUUGCGUUUCCAUUGGUCUUGAUUGGCUGUUUUCGGGUGGUCAAGCAAUACAAAAGGGCCGUUAUCCUACGCUUUGGUAAAGUGCGAUCGGACUCGCCAGCUGGGCCGGGAAUAAUUUGGAUCAUACCCUGCACCGACGAUAUACAACUAAUCGACCUAAGAACUCAAUCUUUUAAUCUGCCACACCAAGAAAUUCUAACAAAAGAUUCUGUAACGGUUACAGUUGAUGCGGUCGUCUAUUACCACGUAUCGGAACCGCUUCUUUGCUUACUAAACAUCCAAUCUCACCAGUACGCUACUGAAUUAAUAACGAUUGCUACUUUGAGAAAUAUACUUGGACAGAAUACGUUAACUAAUUUAUUGACGAGUAGGGAAUCGAUAAGUUUCAAUUGCAGGUCAGAAAUCGAUAAAACUACGGAAGCGUGGGGUGUAACGAUGGAACGAGUUGAAAUGAAAGAUGUGUUUUUACCAUAUGAGCUCCAAAAAGCAAUGGCGGCUGAAGCCGAGGGGACGCGGAUAGCUAAAGCGAAAGUAAUAGAAGCUGAAGGUGAAAUAAAAGCAGCGGAAAAUCUUAAGGAAGCGUCAAACAUUAUGAUGGAAAAUCCGCAUAUAAUGCUGCUCAGAUACUUACAAACAUUAAACUUUAUUGCUUCGCAACAACCCACGUCAAUCGUUUUCCCUUUCCCGAUCGACAUUCCUGGAACGGUGAAUUUAAACACUAAAGGAACUAUGACUAAUUUUUAAAACAAAAGACACAUGCAUUGAACGAUUCCUAGUGUUUAUGUCUUUGUUUUUUGUUAUCAUAUUAUUUCCGAUUUCAUUGUUCACCGUUUUUGUGGCUGUAAGGCAGUUUGAACGUGCAAUAAUAUUGCGAAAUGGGAAGGUUCGAAAGAACAAAGCCUUUGGGCCUGGUCUCGUGUAUUUUCUACCAUGUGUGGAUACUGUAAAAUAUACUGAUCUUCGAAUCAUGUGUUAUGCUGUACCUCCGCAAGAAGCAUUAACAAAAGAUUCUUUGACUGUUUCUGUGGACGCGGUUGUGUAUUACAAAAUCUGGGAUCCAGUUUGGGCAGUUCUCAAUGUUGCUGAUUACAGAAUCGCAACACAAUUUCUAGCAGCUACAACACUUCGUAAUGCUCUUGGAAACAGGAAAUUGGCUGAAAUCUUGACUGAUAGACCAGCAGUGAGCAAUCAAGUAUUUCAACAAAUGAACAACCUAACAGGAGACUGGGGAGUCAAGAUCGUUAGGGUUGAAGUUAAAGAUAUUAGCCUGCCUCUUCAGUUGCAGAAAGCAAUGGCUACAGAAGCAGAGUCAUCAAGAUUAGCGAACGCAAAAAUUAUUGUAGCCAAAUCCGAAAUAGAAGCCACUAAGAACCUACAGAAAGCAACAAAAAUGUUAAUGGAUAAUCCAUUAUGCAUGCAGCUCAGAUAUUUACAAACUCUUCAAACGAUUUCUAGUGAAAAGACACAUACUAUCGUUAUGCCUUUUUCAUCAGAAAUCAUUUCGCGUCUUUUUAAAUAAAUUUGGGAACAUUCUAGCAUCCAAUUGGAAUAUUUUCGGUUUGUAAGUCUGCUUCACCUAAUAUUUU